GUACACGCUGUGACUAGCAUAUCAAUAAGCGGAGGAAAAGAAACUAACAAGGAUUCCCCUAGUAACGGCGAGUGAAGCGGGAAGAGCUCAAGUUUGAAAUCUUAGAGGGUUUCCCUUUACGAAUUGUAGUUUAAAGAAGUGUUUUUCUGUUGAGGUUUUGGUAAAAGUUCUUUGGAAUAGGACAUCAUAGAGGGUGAGAAUCCCGUAUUUGACCUUUACUUUCAACUUUGUGAUACACUUUCAAAGAGUCGGAUUGUUUGGGAAUGCAGUCCAAAAUGGGUGGUAAAUUUCAUCUAAAGCUAAAUAUUGGCGAGAGACCGAUAGCGAACAAGUACCGUGAGGGAAAGAUGAAAAGAACUUUGAAAAGAGAGUUAAACAGUACGUGAAAUUGUCAAAAGGGAAGCGUUUGACACCAGUGUUGUUUUUCUGAAAAUCAAUUAAAGAACUGUUUAUGCUAAGUUGUUUAGACUUUAUCAGCUAACUGUUUAGUUUUGAGCUUUUCUUUAAUUGCACUUUUCAGUUAACAAGUCAACAUCAAUUUCUUUUUGCUGUAAAAAAGCUUGAGGAAGGUGGCUUGAGAUUCGUCUUAAGUGUUUAUAGCCUCUUGCCUAUGCAGUCGGAGAGAUUGAGGUCUGCAGCGUAGAUCCUUCGGGGCUAAAUGCAUUUGUGCUAAGUUAUAGCAUUUUAUAGACAACUUGUUGACUAUGAUUUGUCUUGUAGCUUACAUCGCUUAUGUUAUUUUACCUACGCUUAGGAUGUUGACAGCAGUAUAGACUGU
rnacentral:rRNA from 1 species